GACUCAACACGAGAAAACUUACCAGGUCCGAACAUAAAUAAGUAAGACAGAUUGAUAGCUCUUUCUCGAAUCUUUGGGUGGUGGUGCAUGGCCGUUCUUAGUUCGUAGAGUGAUUUGUCUGGUUAAUUCCGAUAACGAACGAGACUCAAAUAAUUAAAUAGAUGCUUUCAGGAUUAUAACGUUGAAACUUAUAUAUCGGUUGGCAUGAAUGCAGUAAAAUGUCCUAGUGUUAGCCUGAGAGCAGAACUAGGCUGUCAUUAUUGUAAAGUUUUGACCACUAAUCUAGUAGUGCUCUUCUCCUCA
rnacentral:ncRNA from 1 species